rnacentral:misc_RNA from 1 species
UGGAUCGCUGGUAAUCUUGCGGCUCAUUUUUCCUUCUACCUUGGUUCCUAUAUUUCCUGGUAAUUUAUUAAGCAUAUCACCUAGUGUCUUAUGAAACAUGUCCAUGUUUGAGCAUAAACCCAUAUAUCCAAAUUUCCAUGUAAAAGCAAAACCCGCAGAGAUGCUUUACCAUUCUGCCAAGGCACAAUCUGCGUACCCUGGCUAUGCUGUGAAUCGUUAGAGGAACUUGAAUGGGCAUAAACAGAUGGAGAAUAUUGACCAGAAGAAUCAGCCUGGCCCAAAUAAGCCCCCUCGUAAUUACUUGAAAAGGAGUCAUUAGGAUAACCAUAAAAGUCUUG